CAACACUAAUUACCACAGCACCACAAUUUUUUGCUAAUUUAACAAUUUAAUUGAAAAACAAUUGAAUUAGUAUAAUUCAAGUACUAAAAACGUAGCUAAACCGAUAAACAGCCAUGGCGGAAGCCGCAGCAUGCCAAUUGCAGUACGAGAACAAGGAUAACUCUAUUCUCUUGCUGCAUGCAGGCGUGCGACUGAUAGGUCUACAACGUAGUGGGCGAGUUGGAUGGCACGCAAAUGAGUGACCACGCGGAAUGACACAAGCGUCCGAUGAACUGUGCGGUAGCCAAUAUUAGGCCUCGGUAUCAGACGAUCGAUUUGUGUUGCUGGUCCACCCUGGAUAGAUAUCACAGAUGGCAAGGAUGCCAUAAAUACUCUGACUUUGAUUACAGAAAUUGUGAGUAUAUCAGCGGCUUCCAGCAAGGGAAUUCUCUGCGAGAAUUCGGUGGAAAUGCUUCUGGGCUACGAUUAGACUCUGUCAAGCAGCAGAAGCUGAACCUCAGGUUCAUGGCCAGGGUUAACGUAAGCGGAUUCGCGAAAAAAUACACGGCGACUAUGUGCCUAUGUGCCUGUGCCUGUCAUAGAUCUGGCCCAGAUGGUAACUCAGAGCAAUAGCAAGGAACCAUAUUUACAAUAAUUGUCGCACUAUAGUGUAGAUAUUGUAAAGCGAUGCGCAGAGAAGAAAAUCUAAACCCUUUUCGGCAUCAUGGAGCUGGAGAAUGAGGAUCGUACGCGUCUCUGGCAGGUCUCCGAUACACAGAUGGCCUAUGGGGCCCGCUUCGCCAACUAUGUGGUCCAUCUGGAGAAUGAAUGCCCUUCAAUGCAACCUUCUUCCAUCCGAAGAUCGAGAAAGGCAAGCAGGAUCCACUUCUCUUUGGGAUGCAAUGAGGACUACGAGUUCUCCAUCGAAGUUGCCGAUUCCCAAUCUGAGAGAGAGAACACAUCGGACUAGGUUAAGCCUAGGUUAAGCAGGCUAGGAUUAUCAUAAUAAAACUAUAAACAAAUUUUGUAAACA